rnacentral:rRNA from 1 species
UCUUAGUACUGCGGUAGGAUCAUUACCGAGUGAGGGAUCGCCCAUUCCAACCUCCCACCCGUGUCUAUCGUACCUUGUUGCUUCGGCAGGUCCGCCGACUAGACGGCCGCCGGGGAGGCCUUGCGCCCCCGGGCCCGCGCCCGCCGAAGACCCCAACAUGAACGCUGUUCUGAAAGUAUGCAGUCUGAGUUGAUUAUCGUAAUCAGUUAAAACUUUCAACAACGGAUCUCUUGGUUCCGGCAUCGAUGAAGAACGCAGCGAAAUGCGAUAAGUAAUGUGAAUUGCAGAAUUCAGUGAAUCAUCGAGUCUUUGAACGCACAUUGCGCCCCCUGGUAUUCCGGGGGGCAUGCCUGUCCGAGCGUCAUUGCUGCCCUCAAGCACGGCUUGUGUGUUGGGCCCCCGUCCCCCUCUCCCGGGGGACGGGCCCGAAAGGCAGCGGCGGCACCGCGUCCGGUCCUCGAGCGUAUGGGGCUUUGUCACCUGCUCUGUAGGCCCGGCCGGCGCCAGCCGACACCCAACUUUAUUUGUUGACCUCGGAUCAGGUAGGGAUACCCGCUGAACUUAAGCAUAA